UACACAUGCAAGUCGAACGGCAGCACGGGAGCAAUCCUGGUGGCGAGUGGCGAACGGGUGAGUAAUAUAUCGGAACGUGCCCAGUAAUGGGGGAUAGCCCGGCGAAAGCCGGAUUAAUACCGCAUACGACCUACGGGUGAAAGCGGGGGAUCGCAAGACCUCGCGUUAUUGGAGCGGCCGAUAUCAGAUUAGCUUGUUGGCGGGGUAAAAGCCCACCAAGGCGACGAUCUGUAGCUGGUCUGAGAGGACGACCAGCCACACUGGGACUGAGACACGGCCCAGACUCCUACGGGAGGCAGCAGUGGGGAAUUUUGGACAAUGGGCGCAAGCCUGAUCCAGCCAUGCCGCGUGUGGGAAGAAGGCCUUCGGGUUGUAAACCACUUUUGUCAGGGAAGAAACGGCCUUUACUAAUAUUAGGGGCUAAUGACGGUACCUGAAGAAUAAGCACCGGCUAACUACGUGCCAGCAGCCGCGGUAAUACGUAGGGUGCAAGCGUUAAUCGGAAUUACUGGGCGUAAAGCGUGCGCAGGCGGCUUUGCAAGACAGAUGUGAAAUCCCCGGGCUCAACCUGGGAACUGCAUUUGUGACUGCAUGGCUAGAGUACGGUAGAGGGGGAUGGAAUUCCGCGUGUAGCAGUGAAAUGCGUAGAUAUGCGGAGGAACACCGAUGGCGAAGGCAAUCCCCUGGACCUGUACUGACGCUCAUGCACGAAAGCGUGGGGGAGCAAACAGGAUUAGAUACCCUGGUAGUCCACGCCCUAAACGAUGUCAACUGGUUGUUGGACGGCUUGCUGUUCAGUAACGAAGCUAACGCGUGAAGUUGACCG
rnacentral:rRNA from 1 species